rnacentral:sRNA from 1 species
CGCCUUUUUCCUAUGCGCAGAACUCACCGAUUCGUGCCUGCAGCAGGUUCGGGUCGAACGUAGUGAGACAACGGAGCCGCUUGCGGCGACGGCCCGCAGGGCGAGGCGAAGCCGAGUCAUCCUGCGCGACCCACCA